GACGAACGCUGGCGGCGUGCUUAACACAUGCAAGUCGAACGGUACGGCCCCUUCGGGGGUCCACGAGUGGCGAACGGGUGAGUAACCCGCGGGUGAUCUGCCCUGCACUUCGGGAUAAGCGUGGGAAACUGGGUCUAAUACCGGAUAGGACCACGCUCUGCAUGGAGUGUGGUGGCAAGCUUUUGUGGUGUGGGAUGGGCGCGCGGCCUAUCAGCUUGUUGGUGGGGUGAUGGCAUACCAAGGCGACGACGGGUAGCCGGCCUGGGAGGGUGUCCGGCCACACUGGGACUGAGAUACGGCCCAGACUCCUACGGGAGGCAGCAGUGGGGAAUAUUGCACAAUGGGCGCAAGCCUGAUGCAGCGACGCCGCGUGGGGGAUGACGGCCUUCGGGUUGUAAACCUCUUUCAGUACCGACGAAGCGCAAGUGACGGUAGGUACAGAAGAAGCACCGGCUAACUACGUG
rnacentral:rRNA from 1 species